rnacentral:rRNA from 1 species
CGGGAAAGAAUGAAACCUAGUGAUUUUUGUUUUAGUGGCGGACGGGUGAGUAACGCGUGGGUAACCUGCCGUAUACAGGGGGAUAACACUUAGAAAUAGGUGCUAAUACCGCAUAAGCGCACAGCUCCGCAUGGAGCAGUGUGAAAAGCGUAAACGGUAUACGAUGGACCCGCGUCUGAUUAGCUAGUUGGCGGGGUAGAGGCCCACCAAGGCGACGAUCAGUAGCCGGCCUGAGAGGGUGACCGGCCACAUUGGGACUGAGACACGGCCCAAACUCCUACGGGAGGCAGCAGUGGGGAAUAUUGCACAAUGGGGGGAACCCUGAUGCAGCGACGCCGCGUGAGUGAAGAAGUAUUUCGGUAUGUAAAGCUCUAUCAGCAGGGAAGAAAAUGACGGUACCUGACUAAGAAGCCCCGGCUAACUACGUGCCAGCAGCCGCGGUAAUACGUAGGGGGCAAGCGUUAUCCGGAUUUACUGGGUGUAAAGGGAGCGUAGACGGUUAUGCAAGUCUGAAGUGAAAGCCCAAGGCUCAACCAUGGGACUGCUUUGGAAACUGUAAAACUGGAGUGCAGGAGAGGUAAGCGGAAUUCCUAGUGUAGCGGUGAAAUGCGUAGAUAUUAGGAGGAACACCAGUGGCGAAGGCGGCUUACUGGACUGUAACUGACGUUGAGGCUCGAAGGCGUGGGGAGCAAACAGGAUUAGAUACCCUGGUAG